rnacentral:rRNA from 1 species
UACGAAGGGGGCUAGCGUUGCUCGGAAUCACUGGGCGUAAAGCGCACGUAGGCGGAUUCCUAAGUCGGGGGUGAAAUCCUGGAGCUUAACUCCAGAACUGCCUUCGAUACUGGGAAUCUUGAGUCCGGAAGAGGUGAGUGGAACUGCGAGUGUAGAGGUGAAAUUCGUAGAUAUUCGCAAGAACACCAGCGGCGAAGGCGGCUCACUGGUCCGGUACUGACGCUGAGGUGCGAAAGCGUGGGGAGCAAACAGG